rnacentral:rRNA from 1 species
GAUGAACGCUAGCGGAAGGCUUAAUACAUGCAAGUCGAGCGGUAGGUGGCUUCGGCCAUUGAGAGCGGCGCACGGGUGAGUAACGCGUACAUGACCUGCCUGUCAGAAGGGGAUAGCCCUGGGAAACUGGGAUUAAUACCCUAUGGUAUUGAUAUUAUGAAUGAUAUCAAUUAAAGUUGAGGCGCUGACAGAUGGAUGUGCGUCUGAUUAGCUAGUUGGUAGGGUAACGGCCUACCAAGGCUACGAUGUUUAGGGGACCUGAGAGGGUUAUCCCCCACACUGGUACUGAGACACGGACCAGACUCCUACGGGAGGCAGCAGUGAGGAAUAUUGGUCAAUGGGCGCAAGCCUGAACCAGCCAUCCCGCGUGAAGGAAGAAGGCCCUAUGGGUUGUAAACUUCUUUUCCAGGGGGUGAAUAAUUCCGAUGUAUCGGGAGAUGACGGUACCCUGGGAAUAAGCAUCGGCUAACUCCGUGCCAGCAGCCGCGGUAAA